CGCGGCGCCGCCGACAGAUCGCCAAACGGACAGGGUUUCCCCUGUACUGCGGACAGAGUCUCCCCUGUACGUUCAAGGCAUAGCAAUCAAUACAAUGUGCGAAGUUCCAACCAGGAACACAUUUCAAUCAAAGAUUGCAUAAUGGAAGGUAUCAAACAACAUAACACAUCCUAUGUUAUUACAUGCAUUAUAUUCAUCCAUUUUUACAUCACAAAUCUCAUUAGAUUCCAACAUUAGCUUUCACUUAACUUCCAAAUACAAUCCAAUUUAACAAUAUUAUUACAACUUGAUUCUUUUCAUUCUUUACAUCCCUAAAGUAACGGCCGACUCAGGGUACCGCUAUCUUGGUCUCGGUGGUAGGGCGCUAACUAUGGAGCUACCGCCCUCGCCUCGCGCCGCCGCGCGCUCCUCGUGCGAAACCUGUAACACCCGAAAACCACGUGGGAUGAGAACCAACUCCAUGGUUCCCAGUGAGUACGGCCACCCAAGGGAAAAGCUCGACCAAUUAGGUCCAAGGGAGGCAAAUGCAAGUUAGUUCAAUAAAAAGAUAGAUAUAUAUCUUUAUUAUGCAACUAAUAAAACCAUGCUUUGCCUCACGAAUGCAAUAAUACCAUGCUAUAUGCGAAUCAUGACAACUACACAGUAGAUAAAUAUUUUACUUUGCAUCAUGCUAUUCAUAGCUUUUUCAUAAUUUAUACAUCUUAUCACUUUACAUCAUUGGUUAUUUGCUCCUAAGGUUUUCCUCUACCAUAGCCAAGCUAACCACCCGACUCGGUCUCGAGUCAAUCAACUGCGGAAUACCGCACCAAAACUAGGCUCGAGGUGAUGGACUCUCACAUACACCUCAGCCCUAAAUCCUCUCAACUGGGAUACCAAACCCGUAACACAUAAUUAUACAUUCUCUUGGCUUUGACCCAAUCUUACCGGUUAACCAUGUUAAACCCCAAUAACUCACAACCCCAAAAUCCCUUAAUAGCGGGGGACUCGAACCUCCCUAGGACGCGUCUUCUGGGGGAACUUUACCACGCCCAGUGGUGACAACUCCGAAGCGCACGCCCGAGGGGAGCUACCUCCCUCAAGCCAAGACUUAUCGUAAGUAUCGAUCCAAUCCUCAACUUGAGGAUUCAUAGCCACUUGUCACAAUGCCAUUGUCAUAAUAGGUUUUCUACCUAUUAAUCAUGCCACUCCCUAUGUCAUCUUGGUCCAAAUGCCACUUUGGUUUAAAACUAUGUUUAACAACUAUAUCCUCUAUGCAUAUCAAUGUCUUUAUUGUCAAUGUCGCCUUUGUUUACUAAUGUCCAAGUCCAACUCUCACAUUCACACAAUAAUAGGGUUCUAACAUACAUGUUCAUUAUGAUUCUACCCUUCUCUAUGUUCAACUACGUUAGAAACAUGUCAUUGAAAGUAACCAAGGUUCACAUGUACUUAGUCCUAUUAUGUAUGAAUGAUACAAAUAUAUAUGCUCAAUGCCACAAGUGUUUGCUAGGUUCAUGACAUUAGGUUCACACCAUACUUGUUCAACCUAUAUUCAAUACACUAGGUUUAAUGCCACUUGAUGUCCAACCUAUGUUCUUUGGCACUAGAUUCAUAUCCUCCAUGUCCAACCUAUGUCCAUGACUCUAGGUUUAAUGCCACUCGACCUAAUGUAUAUAGAUUGUCCAUAUGCACAUUUCCAUUUCUUAACAUUAGUAUCUCUACAACAUGAUCAUCAAGUAUAUCUUAGCAUUAGCCACAUGCUUGCAUUUAUUAUUUCUACAUCAUUCUUAUCAUACCAUUACUUAGCAUUAUCCCCAUGCAUGCUUAUCAUGUAAACUUUAAUAUUACUCAAUUCAUAUGCCCUUUAUCUUAUGCAUUCAAAGCAUUAAUCACAUGCAUUUAUCUAGCAUUUCUAUAAUAUGUUAACAUGCAUUCUUUUCACAUUCUUACAUUAUGUCAAAUACAUUCCUCUAGCAUUUCACAUUAUAUGUCAACAUGCAUCAAUAUGAAAUCUCAUUUCUUAGACAUAAAGGGCGACCUAGUCGCUUCGGUAAACACAACCCACCUCAAAAUGCUUUCCGAUUGCUUGUCGACACUUGCAAUCGGCCUCCCGCGGCACCCGGCACCCGAUUUGGCCCGAUCUCUCACGCGACCACCCGAACGGCCUCCAAUUCACGAUCCGAAAAUUAAAGGUCUUCGGUUAUGUGCCACGAUGCUUCAAAUCCAUUUUCAUGAAUUUACGAUAUCGCCUCGGCCCUCCCGGCGGACCCGAAGCCUAAACGUCCAUUUCUUUAAUAACUUUGCAACGGCUCGUCGGAUUGCCGAACCGUCUUCGCCAACGCGUUUCGUUACCUAGCAAUUAGAUUUACGAAGGGUCAAAUGAGAUCAAACCCUCAUAUUUUGAAAGUUUGCAUUUUUGAGCCCUAAUAUGAAUUAACCUCUAAAUAAUCCAAAUCAAAUGGAGCAAACAUGUUUAGAAUGCUCAUUAGAGGCUAUUAGAACACUUAAAACUAAGGAUUAAGCCAAAUCCUAAAAGCUUACCUCAAUGUGAACGCCGCGACGACAACACACCGCUCCAACGGUCGCACGAAAGCCCGAUCCAUCGCCUCCAACGCGUUCGCAAGCAUCUUCUCUACCAACCCUCCAAUUUUUAGAGAGAGAUUUAGAGAGAUAAGAGAGAUAUCUAGAGAGAGGUAGAGGUGUUUCUCUCUCUAUCUCCAUGAGUGUGCGUGUGUGUGUGGCGUGUGUGCGGCUGAAGGAGGAGGAAGAAGCUUCAACUUCUUUAUAACACACCCCAAGACACUAUUCACUCCCGGGCAGUUUGAAAUCUGAUAACUUUCGCCGGAGCUCCCUGAAUGUCCGUUUGAGCUCAAACUUGACAGUCAUAUUCGGUUUUACUUAACUUAACAAGCUGACGAUCGCUGGUUCAGUUUCGACCCCGUUUGGUCACUGAAAACUGUACCGAACUGUAAUCUUUAUCAGAUAGCUGUCGGAUUUUAUUUCUCACUCUACGGGUGUCAGAAAAAUAUGAAACUUUAAAUCUAGCCUCAUAAAAAUAUUUCUGACUUAUCCUCCAAUUUUCAUAAUUUUCUGACACUGUGCAUUUUCUGCUAAUUUAUCUGUCCCGUUUCCAACAGAAAAUUCUAGAUCUUCUGUUUUCAUUCCGAUUUCGGCACAAGUCACUUCUGACUUAUAUUUUACUUCUACAAAUCCAAUAAAAAUAGUUUCUCACACUAUUUUUAUUUAUUUUUAUUUUUAUACCAAAAUCUGGUAUGUUACAUUCUCCACCCCUUAAAAGAAUUUCUUCCGCGAAAUUCAAACCACGCCUCAAUUCAGCUCCGUGAGCAAUUGAGGGUACCGACUCAUUCUUCCACUCCAGAGCGGCUCCACACCAUCGUGUUUGAGAAGCGGCUCAUUCUAAGGGACAUGGGUUUGAUAUUAAACACAUUUGCAAAAGGUGAUACAAAAGUGCAUCACGGGUCUUGCAAGUCAUAGUGGCAGCGCAAGUCGGUGCUCGACGACUCUACGCGCUCCAACACCACUCACCAUUCGGUAUACAAAGAACUCAUCUUCGCACUUACCUUCCCUUCAGGGAAUACAUUCUGAUUCGAUCACCGACAUUGCUUAGGAGCAAUAUCACCGAUGCAUCGUUUCGUCAUGAGUGCUCUAAUUUCGCACUGACCCUUAACUUUAACGCGAGGUGGCCCACUUCGGCACAUCUCAAGUCUCAGUUCGCUUACGAGCUUAGUCUCCAACAUCACGUGGCUUUCCACUAGAUUGAUGUCUCACAAGGAGUACUUCAUCAUCUGAUACCACAUGCCACGAUUAACAUCAAACUAUUUUCGCAACGAGCUCACGCGAACGCUUCGUUCGUGAAUUCGAGUCGAAUUCCUCGAUAAGGCUAUCUGCCAAAUCACUUUCUUCAGUCUCCACAGGUGGACCAUAGACCACCAAUCCUACGUAGGCCUACCACCUAAACCUGUCUCAAUACGCAGCGUCUCUCGCUCGCAAAUGCAGACCCAAUCAUGAUCGGGCGAAAUUCUCACUUGGGAAUUCGCACACACUCCAACCAGGAGCAACUAAGACCCCAAACCACGUCAAGUCCUCGGGUUGGGUCACAACCAUACUCGGUAUACCAUCGGUCACACAAUCUAUCACGUAGCAUUCCACGCUCCCGGGUCUAAGCUCGGACUACCGUCCCGACCGGAACUCUGCCCUACCCGUAGGUACCGAGCCGCUGUCACUCACAGCUGACUGCGCCUGCCCAAAGGGCCCAGGCUCCACAGUCCACUAAUGGUCCAGGCACGGGUCGUCUCCAAGUACUACCCACCGUCGUCGUCCUGCACGUCAUACUCUACCGAGUCACACGUACCAAUAUCGGCUCCUAUGCACCUAAUGCGAGUCACCAGUCCCACGAGUGAUCCAUGGCACGCUUCGCACCUAGCGAUGCUCAAGUGCUACUGCCAAUACACUCUCUCGGCUGAAUCCACAUCCGCACUCUACGGGUAUCUACACUCGAGCGCUCUACGCCUCUACAGCGUUCCACACGAAGUCCAGCAUUAGGCAAUCUUGCCUAUGCACACCGGCCGCACGAGCACAACCGCCUACCUCACCUUGAGGUACUACUAGGCCCACGUGUUCAAACUUGGCCACUAAUCGACCGUUCUCUCAACAGUGAUGCUACUUUCACUGUUCGAUCUACCGGAAUGACAUCCGAAAUUUUCGGACCACUCGGGUGUUCUCAUAAGCAUCAUGGCUCAACUCUCGCAAUUUACUAUUCAUAAUUGCUCUGAGAGUCAUUUCGCCACUUCUAUCUCUACCGCGAGUCUCACUUCUCGCUAUAGAUUACUUCUAGCACUUCGCUAGUGCCAUCUAUCUCUAUACCUGUACUGGCAGGUACUACGCCCUCAGAUAAUACAAAACUCCAUUUCUAGAGAACCUAUCUCUAGAAAUCCACCAUGAGAAGGAGCUUAGAAGCUUACCUCUCCAAAAAGCUCCAACCAAGGAGAAGAUGAAGAAGAUGAGCAAGACCUCCUUCUUCUUCUCUUUCUUUCCUUUCCUUUCUUCUUCAUCUUCUUGUCUUCUAGAGAGAGAAAGAAAGAUAUGAGAGGGUGUGUGGGUGAGAAAUAAGAGAAAAGAGCUCUCAUACCCCUCACAUAACCCCACAUGUUGCAUAAGUGCAAACAAGCCCCUCAACUUUUAUUCUUUUACACUGCCCUGACUGGGCCAUUUUCGGGUUCGGGGACCGGUCUCCCCGACGAGGGACCGGUCUCCGAGAGCUUCUCCCCGCAGUCAGCAGAGCUCACGCCCGAUGCAUCCGGUCUCUCUUUAGGGGACCGGUCUCUCAGGGACCGGUCUCUCCAGCAGGGACCGGUCUCCGAGAGCUGUCCACCAAGGACUUAGCCGAUUUUUCUCUCCUCUUGCUGCCUGCGUGUUCGGGGACCGGUCUCUCCCACCAGGGACCGGUCCCCGAGAGCACAAAAGCUGCAGUCUUGCAGAUUUUGAUUUCCAAAGCUCUCGAAGAUCCCCAGUAAUGCACUUUUGCAUUAUUUGACGCCUUCGGCCUUUCCAAAGCGUACCAACCUCGUACUUUGGUCAUUUUGACUAAAGUUCAAUACUUGGUUAUCGAAGUCUCGGUAUAUUACAUACCCACUUGACAACUAGCCAAUCCUGGACGAAGUCCAAUUCUCGGCUCUCGAGAAUUUACUUCGUUACAACCAUGCUACACCGGUACACCCCUGGUGUUAAAUCGGUAAUACAUGUUCCAGGACUUCGAUUUUGCACCGCUUCGACUCCAAUUCGCGUCGAGCAAUGCUAAAACUAUUCUAACUCUUUUAGAACUUAAUUCUAACCCUUCCAACAUUGUUGGAAUAUCAAUUGGACUUUGUCCAACUACUUCUCUCGACACACUUUGGUCAAUUUGACCAAAAGUGAUCUAACACGACGAGGAUUCCGCUAAUUUCUCAAAGAUCAUGAGAGACGCCAAAACUCGCGAAGUUCCAAGUCUCCGCUCGCCUCAAAUUGCCCAGGGACACCACUUGGCCCAUCCCGCGCCGAUCUAAAAGAAGAUCGCCUACGCGAUACUAUUACUCCCUAAAACGCAACAACCUUAUUAAUCCUCGACCUUCUAGGUCGAACACGAGACACUUAAUACCGACUCAAAUCGGGCGAAAGUCACGCAAGGGCGUCUAUUCUCAUCACUCGGCUUCAUGUUGUGUGCACCUAACAUGAACACCCUCUGUUGAGAAUAAACCUCACCUUGAGUCUACCUCUAACAUCCGUUUUAGAGGUUUAUGACAUAACCCAAUCAAUUAACCUUUCGCCAAAAGUCACAAGUCCUCGUCUCUCACGAGCCUUAAUCUCUUAUGGUUUACUAUCCUAGGGUCUCCUAGGUUCAACUAAACCAUUUUCUAUUAUUCUUUUUAUGUUCUUUUUCUGCUCUGAUACCAUCUUAUCUGUCACACCCCGCGACCGCCCGCCUAUUUGGCCGGGUCGCGGCGCCGCAACAGAUCGCCGAACGGACAGGGUUUCCCCUGUACUGCGGACAGAGUCUCCCCUGUACGUUCAAGGCAUAGCAAUCAAUACAACGUACAAAGUUCCAACCAGGAACACAUUUCAAUCAAGAUUGCAUAAUGGAAGGUAUCAAACAACAUAACACAUCUUAUGUUAUUACAUGCAUUCACAUUCAUACAUUUUACAUCCCAAAUACUUAUUACAUUUAACUUCCAAAUACAAUCCGAUUUAACAUGAUUAUUACAAUCUUAUUUCUUUCAUUUUCUUACAUCUUUAAGAAAAGCCGACUCAGGGUACCGCUAUCUCUGGUCUCGGUGGUAGGGCGCUAACUAUGGAACUACGCCCUCGCCUCGCGCCGCCGCGCCGCUCACGUGCGAACCUGUAACACCCCAAAACCACGUGGGGUGAGAACCAACUCCAUGGUUCCCAGUGGGUACGGCCACCCAAGGGAAAAGUUCGACCAAUAGGUCCAAGGGAGGCAACUGCAAGUUAGUUCAAUAAACAGAUAGAUAUAUAUCUUGAUUAUGCAACGAAUAAAACCAUGCAUUGCCUCACGAAUGCAAUAAUGUAAUGCUAUAUGCAAAUCAUGCAAUAAUGCAACUAUGCAACCAACUAGUAGUUCAUUCGAU
rnacentral:lncRNA from 1 species